GGGGGACAGUGUGGCCAAGAGUUAGUGAUUGUUGAAACUGGGUGAAGACACUUGUACAUUACAACCCGGCAUCAACACUUCGACCGUGGUGCACUGUGACGAUCAUGAACGAGACUGGUUGGCAGAACAGUGGCCACCCUCAGCAAAGGGCUGAAGUGGUAUUUAUCCUACCUUCCACCUUCCAGUCAAACAGAAGUUCAAGAAGCUGGGACUAGAGGCCUAAGAAGCCAGAUUGUGGUCAAGAAGGAACAGCCUUAUCCGAAUUAUACGAAAUCAGGCACAGAGAUCCACAAGGCCAGCUGACUGGACCAAGACAAGCACCAACCCACGCUGAGGACUAGGAGCUGGACUGAGGUAAG